AUCUGAACUCAGGAUCACUCGUGUUACACUGCAAUCGCGUGUCGCCCUUAGAGUUUGAUCCUGGCUCAGGAUGAACGCUAGCUACAGGCUUAACACAUGCAAGUCGAGGGGCAGCAUGGAAGAAGCUUGCUUCUUCUGAUGGCGACCGGCGCACGGGUGCGUAACGCGUAUCAAACCUGCCUCAUACUCGGGGAUAGCCUUGCGAAAGUAAGAUUAAUACCCGAUGUUGUUAUGUUUCCGCAUGGUGAUAUAACCAAAGAUUUAUCGGUAUGAGAUGGUGAUGCGUCCGAUUAGGUAGUAGGCGGGGUAACGGCCCACCUAGCCAUCGAUCGGUAGGGGUUCUGAGAGGAAGGUCCCCCACACUGGAACUGAGACACGGUCCAGACUCCUACGGGAGGCAGCAGUGAGGAAUAUUGGUCAAUGGACGGAAGUCUGAACCAGCCAAGUAGCGUGCAGGAUGACGGCCCUCCGGGUUGUAAACUGCUUUUAGUUGGGAAUAAAAAGAGGGACGUGUCCCUAAUUGUAUGUACCUUCAGAAAAAGGACCGGCUAAUUCCGUGCCAGCAGCCGCGGUAAUACGGAAGGUCCAGGCGUUAUCCGGAUUUAUUGGGUUUAAAGGGAGCGUAGGCGGAUUAUUAAGUCAGUGGUGAAAGACGGUGGCUCAACCAUCGUUAGCCAUUGAAACUGGUAGUCUUGAGUGCAGACAGGGAUGCUGGAACUCGUGGUGUAGCGGUGAAAUGCUUAGAUAUCACGAUGAACUCCGAUCGCGAAGGCAGGUGUCCGGGCUGCAACUGACGCUGAGGCUCGAAAGUGUGGGUAUCAAACAGGAUUAGAUACCCUGGUAGUCCACACAGUAAACGAUGUAUACUCGCGGUUUGCGAUAUAGUGUAAGCCGCCAAGCGAAAGCAUUAAGUAUACCACCUGGGGAGUACGCCGGCAACGGUGAAACUCAAAGGAAUUGACGGGGGCCCGCACAAGCGGAGGAACAUGUGGUUUAAUUCGAUGAUACGCGAGGAACCUUACCCGGGCUUGAACUAAGAGUGACAGAUUUAGAGAUAGAUCUUUCUUCGGACACUCUUGGAGGUGCUGCAUGGUUGUCGUCAGCUCGUGCCGUGAGGUGUCGGCUUAAGUGCCAUAACGAGCGCAACCCUUUUCCUUGGUUGCCAUCAGGUAAUGCUGGGCACUCCAGGGAUACUGCCAUCGUAAGAUGUGAGGAAGGUGGGGAUGACGUCAAAUCAGCACGGCCCUUACGUCCGGGGCUACACACGUGUUACAAUGGGGGGUACAGAAGGUCGCUACCUGGUGACAGGAUGCUAAUCUUUAAAACCUCUCUCAGUUCGGAUCGGAGUCUGCAACCCGACUCCGUGAAGCUGGGUUCGCUAGUAAUCGCGCAUCAGCCAUGGCGCGGUGAAUACGUUCCCGGGCCUUGUACACACCGCCCGUCAAGCCAUGAAAGCCGGGGGUGCCUGAAAGCCGUGACCGGAAGGGUCGGCCUAGGGUAAAACUGGUGAUCGGGGCUAAGUCGUAACAAGGUAACCAAGGGCGACACGCGAUUGCAGUCUUGAGUCCACCCUGAA
rnacentral:rRNA from 1 species